rnacentral:rRNA from 1 species
GUCCCAGACUCCUACGGGAGGCAGCAGUGGGGAAUCUUCCGCAAUGGGCGAAAGCCUGACGGAGCAACGCCGCGUGAUCGAAUGAAGGCCUUCGGGUUGUAAAGAUCUGUUGACAGGGACGAAUAAGCCAUGCGAAUAGUUUGGUGUAUGACGGUACCUGUUUAGAAAGCUCCGGCUAACUACGUGCCAGCAGCCGCGGUAAUACGUAGGGAGCAAGCGUUGUCCGGAAUUACUGGGCGUAAAGGGCGCGUAGGUGGGUGCUUAAGCCAGGUGUGAAAACGCUGGGCUCAACCUGGAGACUGCACUUGAAACUGGGUAUCUUGAGGGCAGGAGAGGAAAGUGGAAUUCCUAGUGUAGCGGUGAAAUGCGUAGAUAUACGGAGGAACACCAGUGGCGAAGGCGGAUUGCUGGACAGUAACUGACGCUGAGGCGCGAAAGCGUGGGGAGCAAACAGGAUUAGAUACCCGAGUAC